rnacentral:piRNA from 1 species
UGGUAAGGCCUCAUACCUGAGGGAUAGUGU